rnacentral:rRNA from 1 species
CAGCCGCCGCGGGAAUACGUAGGGUGCGAGCGUUAAUCGGAAUUACUGGGCGUAAAGCAAGCGCAGACGGUUAUUUAAGCAGGAUGUGAAAUCCCCGGGCUUAACCUGGGAACUGCGUUCUGAACUGGAUAGCUAGAGUGUGUCAGAGGGGGGUAGAAUUCCACGUGUAGCAGUGAAAUGCGUAGAGAUGUGGAGGAAUACCGAUGGCGAAGGCAGCCCCCUGGGAUAACACUGACGUUCAUGCUCGAAAGCGUGGGUAGCAAACAGGAUUAGAUACCCCUGUAGUCCCUGUCUCUUAUAC